UUAUAUUCGGGAUUUGUGUAUUUUCUUUAAUUUUUGGUUUAAAAAGGUCACAUUUUAGUGAUUUUUUAAAUUCUAGGAUGACAAAAACGUGUGUGCCGCGAUAAAAAGGCGAUUCAAGCCGAUCUUUUCACAAGAUUUCUGAUGCACUGGUUAAAAAUACAGCAGCUAAUAAUUCAGUUAAUUUACCAAGUGAUUUACCCCUAAAAGCUUCUAUUAGCACUAGCACUAUUCAGGAAAGUUCUUUAGCUUCCAAAACAGUAUAUAGUACAAACAGUGAAGCUAAUAUAGACAAAUCUGAUCAUUCAUCAUCAACAAUAACUGCAUCUGAGAUUAAUAGUUCUACAGUAAGCGUGGGGUCUAGGUCAACAAUUAAUAUUUCUCAUCCAAGCCGUUUUAAUUCAACUGCUACACAUACCUGACUGGGCUAAG